UACGUAGGGUGCGAGCGUUGUCCGGAAUUAUUGGGCGUAAAGAGCUCGUAGGCGGUUUCGUUAGUCGGGUGUGAAAACUCCAGGCUCAACCUGGAGACGCCACCCGAUACUGCGAUGACUAGAGUCCGGUAGGGGAGUGUGGAAUUCCUGGUGUAGCGGUGAAAUGCGUAGAUAUCUGGAGGAACACCGGUGGCGAAGGCGACAUCCUGGACCGGUAUUGACGCUGAGGCGCGAAAGCCAGGGGAGCAAACGGG
rnacentral:rRNA from 1 species